UACGUAGGGUGCAAGCGUUAAUCGGAAUUACUGGGCGUAAAGCGCGCGCAGGCGGUUAUGCAAGACAGAUGUGAAAUCCCCGGGCUUAACCUGGGAACCGCAUUUGUGACUGCAUAGCUGGAGUACGGCAGAGGGGGAUGGAAUUCCGCGUGUAGCAGUGAAAUGCGUAGAUAUGCGGAGGAACACCGAUGGCGAAGGCAGUCCCCUGGGCCUGUACUGACGCUCAUGCACGAAAGCGUGGGGAGCAAACAGG
rnacentral:rRNA from 1 species